rnacentral:rRNA from 1 species
AUUGAACGCUGGCGGCAUGCUUUACACAUGCAAGUCGAACGGCAGCACGGGCUUUGGCCUGGUGGCGAGUGGCGAACGGGUGAGUAAUGCAUCGGAACGUUCCGUGUAGUGGGGGAUAACGUAGCGAAAGUUACGCUAAUACCGCAUACGCCCUGAGGGGGAAAGUGGGGGGCCGCAAGGCCUCCCGCUAUAUGAGCGGCCGAUGUUGGAUUAGCUAGUUGGUGGGGUAAAGGCCUACCAAGGCGACGAUCCGUAGCGGGUUUGAGAGGAUGAUUCGCCCCCCUGGGACUGAGACACGGCCCCGACUCCUACGGGAGGCAGCAGUGGGGAAUUUUGGACAAUGGGGGCAACCCUGAUCCAGCCCUGCCGCGUGAGUGAAGAAGGCCUUCGGGUUGUAAAGCUUUUUCAGACGGAAAGAAAUCGCAUUUUUUAAUACAGGGUGUGGAUGACGGUACCGUAAGAAGAAGCCCCGGCUAACUACGUG